AUUGAACGCUGGCGGCAUGCUUUACACAUGCAAGUCGGACGGCAGCACAGAGAAGCUUGCUUCUUGGGUGGCGAGUGGCGAACGGGUGAGUAAUAUAUCGGAACGUACCGAGUAAUGGGGGAUAACUAAUCGAAAGAUUAGCUAAUACCGCAUAUUCUCUGAGGAGGAAAGCAGGGGUCCUUCGGGCCUUGCGUUAUUCGAGCGGCCGAUAUCUGAUUAGCUAGUUGGUGGGGUAAAGGCCUACCAAGGCGACGAUCUGUAGCGGGUCUGAGAGGAUGAUCCGCCACACUGGGACUGAGACACGGCCCAGACUCCUACGGGAGGCAGCAGUGGGGAAUUUUGGACAAUGGGCGCAAGCCUGAUCCAGCCAUGCCGCGUGUCUGAAGAAGGCCUUCGGGUUGUAAAGGUCUUUUGUCAGGGAAGAAAAGGCUGUUGCUAAUAUCAAUAGCUGAUGACGGUACCUGAAGAAUAAGCACCGGCUAACUACGUG
rnacentral:rRNA from 1 species